UACGGGGGGGGCAAGCGUUGUUCGGAAUUACUGGGCGUAAAGGGCUCGUAGGCGGCCAACUAAGUCGGAUGUGAAAUCCCCAGGCUUAACCUGGGAACUGCAUCCGAUACUGGAUGGCUUGAAUCCGGGAGAGGGAUGCAGAAUUCCAGGUGUAGCGGUGAAAUGCGCAGAUAUCGGGAGGAACACCGGUGGCGAAGGCGGUUCUCUGGGCCUGACCUGACGCUGAGGAGCGAAAGCGUGGGGAGCGAACAGG
rnacentral:rRNA from 1 species